rnacentral:rRNA from 1 species
GUUUGAUCAUGGCUCAGGAUGAACGCUGGCGGCGCGCCUAACACAUGCAAGUCGAACGGUGAAGAGAAGCUUGCUUCUCGGAUCAGUGGCGGACGGGUGAGUAACACGUGAGCAACCUGCCUUUAAGAGGGGGAUAACGUUUGGAAACGAACGCUAAUACCGCAUAACAUAGAAGAUUCGCAUGUUUCUUCUAUCAAAGAUUUAUCGCUUAAAGAUGGGCUCGCGUCUGAUUAGCUGGUUGGUGAGGUAACGGCUCACCAAGGCGACGAUCAGUAGCCGUACUGAGAGGUAGAACGGCCACAUUGGGACUGAGACACGGCCCAGACUCCUACGGGAGGCAGCAGUGGGGAAUAUUGCACAAUGGAGGAAACUCUGAUGCAGCGAUGCCGCGUGAGGGAAGAAGGUUUUCGGAUUGUAAACCUCUGUCUUCAGGGACGAUAAUGACGGUACCUGAGGAGGAAGCUCCGGCUAACUACGUGCCAGCAGCCGCGGUAAUACGUAGGGAGCGAGCGUUGUCCGGAAUUACUGGGUGUAAAGGGAGCGUAGGCGGGAUCUUAAGUCAGGUGUGAAAACUAUGGGCUCAACCCAUAGACUGCACUUGAAACUG